rnacentral:rRNA from 1 species
UACCAAAAACAUAGCCCCUGAAUAAAUCAGGGGUGAUACCUGCUCACUGACGAUUGAUUGUUCUAAUGGAAAUUAGUAAAUUUCGUUAAAUAGAUGCGGUAUUCUAACCGUAAUAAUGUAGCAUAAUAAUUCGCCAUUUAAUUGAUGGAUGGUAUGAAAGGUCAAACGAGUACAUCACUGUCUUAAUUAGAAGUAUUAUGAAAAUGGAAUUGUAGUAAAGAUACUAUACUAAACUGUAAGACGAAAAGACCCUAUAGAGCUUAACUAUAACUUUUUUCUUAGUGUUAAUUUAUUAAUAAAAAAGAAAGGUAGGUAGUUUAGUUGGGGUGACUGUUUUCUAAAAUAAACGAAAACGAUCAAUAUUAAUCGAGUAAUUUACUGUAUAACCUAUAAUUUUAACAGUUAUUAAAAUAGGAGAUAAUGACCCGUUAUGUAUUGUAAAUAUCAUAACGAUCUACAAAUAAAAGCUACCUUAGGGAUAACAGGAUAAUAUUGUUUUAGAGUUCAUAUCAAGGACAAAGUUUAUCACCUCGAU